UACAGGGGGUGCAAACGUUGCUCGGAAUCAUUGGGCGUAAAGCGCACGUAGGCGGUUUGUUAUGUCGGAUGUGAAAGCCCUUGGCUCAACCGAGGAAGUGCAUCCGAAACUGGCAAGCUAGAGUACUAAAGAGGGUCGCGGAAUUCCCGGUGUAGAGGUGAAAUUCGUAGAUAUCGGGAGGAACACCGGUGGCGAAGGCGGCGACCUGGGUAGAUACUGACGCUGAGGUGCGAAAGCGUGGGGAGCAAACAGG
rnacentral:rRNA from 1 species